GACGAACGCUGGCGGCGUGCUUAACACAUGCAAGUCGAACGGAAAGGCCCUGCUUUUGUGGGGUGCUCGAGUGGCGAACGGGUGAGUAACACGUGUGUAACCUGCCCUUGACUUUGGGAUAACUUCAGGAAACUGGGGCUAAUACCGGAUAGGAGCUCCUGCUGCAUGGUGGUGGUUGGAAAGUUUCGGCGGUUGGGGAUAGACUCGCGGCUUAUCAGCUUCUUGGUGGGGUAGUGGCUUACCACGGGUUUGACGGGUAGCCGGCCUGAGAGGUGAGCCGGGCACAUGAGUACUAAGAGACGGCCCAGACGCCUACGGGCGGCAGCGGGGGGAAAUAUGGCACAAUGGGCGGAAGCGUGAUAUAGCAACGCCGCGAGCGGGAUAACCUCCUUCGAGUUGUAAACCGCUUUCGCAUGUAACAAAGAGUGAUUGACGGUAAUGGGUAAAGAAGCACCGGCUAACUUCGUG
rnacentral:rRNA from 1 species